UAGAGUUUGAUCAUGGCUCAGAUUGAACGCUGGCGGAAUGCCUUACACAUGCAAGUCGAACGGCAGCACGGGGGCAGCCCUGGUGGCGAGUGGCGAACGGGUGAGUAAUGCAUCGGAACGUACCGUGUAAUGGGGGAUAACGAGUCGAAAGACUUGCUAAUACCGCAUACGCCCUGAGGGGGAAAGUGGGGGAUCGUAAGACCUCACGUUAUACGAGCGGCCGAUGUCGGAUUAGCUAGUUGGUGGGGUAAAGGCUCACCAAGGCGACGAUCCGUAGCUGGUCUGAGAGGACGACCAGCCACACUGGGACUGAGACACGGCCCAGACUCCUACGGGAGGCAGCAGUGGGGAAUUUUGGACAAUGGGGGCAACCCUGAUCCAGCCAUGCCGCGUGAGUGAAGAAGGCCUUCGGGUUGCAAAGCUCUUUCGGCCGGGACGAAAUCGCUAUCCUAAUAAAGGUAGUGGAUGACGGUACCGGAAUAAGAAGCACCGGCUAACUACGUGCCAGCCGCCGCGGUAAUAC
rnacentral:rRNA from 1 species